AGGGUACAAGCGAGAUAAAUCCUAAGGUGAACUAGGCUAAUAUUCAGGGGGAGAAAAGAAACAUAAAAUAACUUGUGGGAGUUGAACUACAUUGAUCCACUUUCAAACAAAACUUUUCCUCUAUUUUUCUUCUCUUUUAUCUUUUUAUUCUUUUUAUUCUUAAUUUUUUUUCUUUUUCAGAAGAAAUAUGAUAAAGGACAAAACUUUUCUUCCUUCUUUCUUUUCUAAUUUUUUUCUUCUAAACCUUGAAACAUCAUUGUUAUAUCAAUUUUAUUUCAACCCCACACAAUUCCAACAAGCUCUUUCAACCCUUUAAAUAAGGUGAUAAAAAUUGUUUCUCACUUUAUGGCUUGUAAUGAGUUUA
rnacentral:lncRNA from 1 species